rnacentral:rRNA from 1 species
GUACGGGAGGCAGCAGUCGCGAAAACUUUGCAAUAAGCGAAAGCUUGACAGGGCUAUCCCGAGUGCCAUCCGCUGAGGAAGGCUUUUACCCAGUCUAGAACGCUGGGGGAAUAAGGAGAGGGCAAGUCUGGUGUCAGCCGCCGCGGUAAUACCAGCUCUUCGAGUGGUGUGGACGUUUAUUGGGCCUAAAGCAUCCGUAGCUGGCUAAGUUAGUCCCUUGUUAAAUCCACCGAAUUAAUCGUUGGAUUGCGAGGGAUACUGCUUGGCUAGGGGACGAGAGAGGCAGACGGUAUUUUCGGGGUAGGGGUGAAAUCCUAUAAUCCCGGGAAGACCACCAGUGGCGAAGGCUGUCUGCUAGAACGCGCCCGACGGUGAGGGAUGAAAGCUGGGGGAGCGAACCGGAUUAGAUACCCCGGUAGUCCG